CCCCAGCCAGACGCUGUGAAGUCUCCAUAAAUCUGUCAGCCCUCCCAGUGCCGCGGGCAGUCACCUGCUGCGCCCCCUUCCCGGCACUAGAGCGGCCGGCGGAGAGACGCGGAGAAGCAACAGGAAUCUAGCCUGGUAGACUGUACCCGAGGGCUGCAGAGGUCAGACCCAAGCACUGCAGGGUGUGCGGAACGCGAGGACCCCUCCCUGUAUCCCCAACCUAGACCGACGCCGGCUAAGCUGCUCCGCGAUAAGGCUGCUCCUCCGGGUCUACAGGGACAGGACCCCCGAGCGAGGCCCAGGCGAUGGUGCCCGCCUCUUUUCCACUCGGAGGAGUUGCGGGGAUUGCAAGACAGCCAGAGUCCGAGUCCGGGACUGGGAUUUUCACAGUGCAUUGACUUCUAACUGUCUGGGGAACAUGCAGUAAAGUCAAGACCUUUCAGGACCCGGGGUGGGAGAGAAGGACAGGUGGCACCCGCGCACUGACCUGCCGGCCUGGACUUGGAGGGACUGCGGACGCGCCAGCCCAAGGAGAAGUCGCAAGCGCUCCUAGAGGAGCAGAGCGCGGCCGGAAGAUGCUCGGAGAAUAGCCCCGCGGCCUCUCCACCUUCUCACCAAGGAGCCUCACGGCUCAAGAGCUUCUCCCGGCUCCACGAGGUAGCUAGAAUGGCAGUGGGUUGGUUUGGGCCAGAGCUCGGAAACGAGUCUCCGCGUUCUGCGGGUCCGACAGCUUCCGGGGCCGAAGUGCUGCGGGCGGUGGGAUCGGCCCCACGGGCUGCGAACGCUCGUCGCCGGCUUUCUCCUUACGAGGACAGGGGAGGGGCCUGUUGCUGCCUGAAACCCGCUUUUAAUUCUCCGCCUGCCUGUUUCCGAUCACCCGGGGUUGGUUUUUCUGUUUGCUCACUCCUUCUAUUACAAUAAAAACAAUCGACAUUU